GUUAUGAUAGCUGCAGCUUCCAUGUACCAUGCAAAACAAGCAAACCUGUCUACAAGUCCAUUUUGUUGUCUUUUAACAUACAUUUACUGCAAUGAAAAAUGCAAAUCUUCUGCAAAAGAUUUCUGCAGAGCUUGGAGUUGUAGACAUUUAUCCCGAUGCAUACAGUGUAUGUAAGUAAAUGAGUGAGAUGAAGAGGUCCAUUCAAGAGAGAACUUGAGAGAACUGCCGAAGUUGUAUAAUGAGUCAGACAGCCAAGCUAAUGGAAGGAACCCCUAAAGGCAUACGUUCAUUCGUUUACCAUGAAUAACUGUGACAAAGAGUAACUUGUCCCCUUGUAACUUUUCUUUCCAAGACUUAAAGGAGACAGUUAUUUAAAGCUGUCUGAGAACAGUAGAUCAUUUAUUUAAGCCUAAGAAUGUACCCUUCUUGGAUUCAGUCCUGUUAUUGCAAAGGUAGAGAGAAAAGGGCCAUGAAACAGUUGGAUCACUUGGAAGCCUCUUUUUAAGACUUAAAGUCUUUGCUAUAAUCCAUUUUUUUAUUUUUUCCAGUCCUGGGAACAAACAAUUGAGAGAUAGGUCUUGGUGUGGUACUGUCCAUUAGUGCAGAACUACUCACUUACUUUCAUGCCACAAUCUCCUGGCUGCAUUAGACAACGUGCAGUACCUACUCAAGAAUUACUAAAGAAUUUCGUGCUGUAUAACAGGCCACUGCUGAAAGUUUAAAUGUUGUAAAUGAGAUUUACCCUUCACAUUGUUAACUCACACAUUUCCUCCCCAGUUUUGCUAUUGCUUAUUUUUGUGUUCUACAACAUUAUUUCUAUGAGAUGCAACAUGUCAUGCCAAUUUUAACUGAAGAGAAACAUGCUUUCACACUGCCAGCUCUGUCUUCUUGCCUUUUAUGUAAUGUAGUUCCAUCCAAGGAAAAGAGUAUAUCAUCAAGCUCAUAUUUUCUUCUACACACUUCUGAGGUCACCUUCAAACCUGGUUGAAUGCCUUUAUUGGUGCAGUAAAUGAAUACUAUAUAAUGCAUUAUGAAAACAUUUUAUUAAUUAGAUUGGUUGUAAGCCAUCUACAGUAUUUUGUCAGUGUUGUGGAUUGUUUAUCAUUUAGCAUAAUGAUAUAAUUAUGGAAUCAUUUAAACCAUUUAUUUACAUAUGAUUGCUAAUUAGGGAUUAUCAGGCACUCUUCACUAUUAAUUAAUCAGGUAUAUGGAGAUAGAAUUCAAGAGAAAAAAUUGACGUGGAACAUCUAUAAAAGAAAGGACAGGGAUAUAACACAAUAAGAUGUCUUUUGCAAGAAAGAACAAGUACAAGUAUCAGCUGUAGGUUUGUUUGUUAAACAUAAUUCUUUAAUAUUGUGUGACCAUCUGUCCUCAGAUCUGUGCUGUGAAUAAAACUGCUCGCUAUUUGUGCUUUUGCCCUGUAAAUAAAUUGCACUGUUGAUGAAUUUCCUGUCUUCUGUGACCAUUUUAAUAAAGCUAUGUGUACUGUAGAUAUUAGAUAGUGAUUCCAUUAAGAUACCCCUCAUCUGUUGAAGUUGAUACCUUGGCUUCUUUCAAGAAAGAGCUCAAUGAAUUUCAUCAGAUCAAUUAGCUACUAGCAUCUACAGUACAGUACAUGUGCUAAAGUGGCCUAAUGGUCUUAUUCCAUUAGUAACAUUUUUUAUGUUUUAUUUUACCUUCCUAAUUAACUUCAGAAAUACUGUAAACUAGCAUUCAGUGUAUACAGUUCCUGUCUUAAAUAAGCAACAUUAUUAUUUUGUCUUGAAUUACAGUGACCUCCUAGGUCAAUACAAAAGUUGUUAAGGUUAAACAGAAGCCUAAACAUUGAUCUUAUUUCGUGCCCAGUUUCAAUCUGUUGGACAUCUUUGUCCUUGGUAAUAACUGGAGCUGCUGGAUGAAAUGAAGGACAAAAUAACAUCAGGAGUUCAAUCAAUACUGUAUGUGGCUACAUUGAACUGAUGAGCCCCAUCCAGUGUGGAACUGGUCUGUACCUGAACAGUUAUUGUCUUUGAUGUUACUGAAAAACGAUAACUGAGUCACCUUGCAUGAUUUAUUUAUAGUAUUUUUUUCUGUUAAAAAAAAAAUAUCCACAGUUGUAAGACUUUGUUCAUUUUUUUCCCCAGCUUUAAAAAGAUUCUCAUAAUAUGUAACUCACAAACG
ensembl:lincRNA